UACAGAGGGUGCGAGCGUUGUCCGGAAUCACUGGGCGUAAAGGGCGCGUAGGCGGUGCCAGCAGUCGAUGGUGAAAGCCCGGGGCUCAACUCCGGAAUUGCCUUUAAAACUGCAUCGCUAGAAUUGUGGAGAGGUAAGUGGAAUUCCGAGUGUAGAGGUGAAAUUCGUAGAUAUUCGGAAGAACACCAGUGGCGAAGGCGACUUACUGGACACAUAUUGACGCUGAGGUGCGAAAGCGUGGGGAGCAAACAGG
rnacentral:rRNA from 1 species